rnacentral:rRNA from 1 species
AUGAACGCUGGCGGCGUGCCUCAUCCAUGCCCGUCGAGCGAACGGACGAGAAGCUUGCUUCUCUGAUGUUAGCGGCGGACGGGUGAGUAACACGUGGAUAACCUACCUAUAAGACUGGGAUAACUUCGGGAAACCGUAGCUAAUACCGGAUAAUAUUUUGAACCGCAUGGUUCAAAAGUGAAAGACGGUCUUGCUGUCACUUAUAGAUGGAUCCGCGCUGCAUUAGCUAGUUGGUAAGGUAACGGCUUACCAAGGCAACGAUGCAUAGCCGACCUGAGAGGGUGAUCGGCCACACUGGAACUGAGACACGGUCCAGACUCCUACGGGAGGCAGCAGUAGGGAAUCUUCCGCAAUGGGCGAAAGCCUGACGGAGCAACGCCGCGUGAGUGAUGAAGGUCUUCGGAUCGUAAAACUCUGUUAUUAGGGAAGAACAUAUGUGUAAGUAACUGUGCACAUCUUGACGGUACCUAAUCAGAAAGCCACGGCUAACUACGUG